UACAGAGGGGGCAAGCGUUAUUCGGAAUUAUUGGGCGUAAAGGGCGCGUAGGCGGCUUGGUAAGUGGAAGGUGAAAUCCCUCGGCUUAACCGAGGAACUGCCCUCCAAACUGCUUUGCUUGAGGCCGGGAGAGGCGAGUGGAAUUCCCAGUGUAGCGGUGAAAUGCGUAGAUAUUGGGAGGAACACCGAAGGUGAAGACAGUCUGCUGGGGACUUGCUGACGCUGAGACACGAAAGCCAGGGGAGCGAACGGG
rnacentral:rRNA from 1 species